UACAGAGGUCUCAAGCGUUGUUCGGAUUCAUUGGGCGUAAAGGGCGCGUAGGCGGUCACGCACGUCCGUUGUGAAAUCGCUCGGCUCAACUGGGCGGGGUCAGCGGAUACGGCGUGGCUGGAGCAAGCUAGGGGGCAAUGGAAUUCCCGGUGUAGUGGUGGAAUGCGUAGAUAUCGGGAGGAACACCAGUGGCGAAGGCGGUUGCCUGGAGCUUUGCUGACGCUGAUGCGCGAAAGCGUGGGGGAGCGAGUCCGG
rnacentral:rRNA from 1 species